AAUAGAUACCCGGGUAGUCCACGCCGUAAACGAUGAGUGCUAAGUGUUGGGGGGUUUCCGCCCCUCAGUGCUGCAGCUAACGCAUUAAGCACUCCGCCUGGGGAGUACGGUCGCAAGACUGAAACUCAAAGGGAUUGACGGGGGCCCGCACAAGCGGUGGAGCAUGUGGUUUAAUUCGAAGCAACGCGAAGAACCUUACCAGGUCUUGACAUCCCGGUGACCACUAUGGAGACAUAGUUUCCCCUUCGGGGGCAACGGUGACAGGUGGUGCAUGGUUGUCGUCAGCUCGUGUCGUGAGAUGUUGGGUUAAGUCCCGCAACGAGCGCAACCCUUAUUCUUAGUUGCCAUCAUUCAGUUGGGCACUCUAAGGAGACUGCCGGUGAUAAACCGGAGGAAGGUGGGGAUGACGUCAAAUCAUCAUGCCCCUUAUGACCUGGGCUACACACGUGCUACAAUGGACGGUACAAACGGUUGCCAACCCGCGAGGGGAGCUAAUCCGAUAAAACCGUUCUCAGUUCGGAUUGUAGGCUGCAACUCGCCUACA
rnacentral:rRNA from 1 species